UACGUAGGGUGCGAGCGUUAAUCGGAAUUACUGGGCGUAAAGCGUGCGCAGGCGGUUUUGUAAGUCAGAUGUGAAAUCCCCGGGCUCAACCUGGGAACUGCGUUUGAAACUACAAGGCUAGAGUGUAGCAGAGGGGGGUGGAAUUCCACGUGUAGCAGUGAAAUGCGUAGAGAUGUGGAGGAAUACCGAUGGCGAAGGCAGCCCCCUGGGAUGAUACUGACGCUCAUGCACGAAAGCGUGGGGAGCAAACAGG
rnacentral:rRNA from 1 species